rnacentral:rRNA from 1 species
UACGUAGGGUGCAAGCGUUAAUCGGAAUUACUGGGCGUAAAGCGUGCGCAGGCGGUUAUGCAAGACAGAUGUGAAAUCCCCGGGCUUAACCUGGGAACCGCAUUUGUGACUGCAUAGCUGGAGUACGGCAGAGGGGGAUGGAAUUCCGCGUGUAGCAGUGAAAUGCGUAGAUAUGCGGAGGAACACCGAUGGCGAAGGCAGUCCCCUGGGCCUGUACUGACGCUCGAUGCACGAAAGCGUGGGGAGCAAACAGG